AGCUGCCUUUCCGCCGCCCGCGUCAUCACCCAGCAGCCACUCUCUUCCUCGCUCGCUCGCUCUCCCGACGCCUCCUCCUCUCCCCUCAAAUCGCCGCCGCCUUGCUCUCCCCCACGCCAUCGCUGCCUUGCUCCCCUCGCGCCUCCAUUCCCGGUGCCUUCCUUCCUCUGUUAUACUUCCGGCGCCGCCGCCUCAGCUGGUUACACCCGCCGCUACAAGCGCAGCGUGGACUUCUUCGGUUCAAGGUCUGAUUUUUCUGGCCAAGAAACCAGCGGUGCUAGCCUGGACGCCAAGAUCUGCGAGCUUAGGUGCUGGAUCUGCUCAAGAGAGGCCUGCUGUUCGAGUGUGCGACGCGGGAGGAGAAAUGGUGAUCUCCGCGAGCCAAACCCAACCGGAGUCCGUCGACGCGGGCAGUGAGGUGCGGCACUGGAGCGCGGAGGUCAACGACGUCUCCCUCCACGUCGCGGGGCAGGGCUCCGCCGCCGGCCUGGUGGUCCUCCUCCUCCACGGCUUCUCGGAGAUGUGGCUCUCAUGGAGCCACCAGAUGGCCGCCCUCGCCCCCGACCUCCGCGGCCGUCGUGCUCCUCGACCACCUCUGCCUCCCCAAAAUGCAGCCCCUUUUCUCUACUGUCUAUGCUUCUUGCCAUGAUUGCCUACUCUGUCUUGUGAUUUACUCCAUCAUCUGUGAUCCAGUGUCUGUGAUUGCCUCCCCAAGGAGUGCAGUAGUUUCAACUCCAAUCUUCUGUUGAAAAUUACAGUGUAUGGGUUGUGUGAAAUGGAAAUUGUAGACUUUGGUUACAUAGAAAUUGAAGAAAAUGUGCUUGUAAAUUGCAUUUUUUACAAUAGGGUGUGGCCACAUCCAGGUGUAUAUUCUGAAAGCUAUUUUCCUACAAAUCGUUCAUUAAAAUUUGACUUGUUGCACUGACUCGAAUCAUAACAUGCAGAUUAUGGAUACAAAUCCCCAAUUAUACUUCCAUCUGCAGCAGCAGAAACUAAUAGAGUUGAUUCGUGUGGGAAGAAUAAAUGAAGCUUUGGAAUUUGCUCAAGAAAAACUUGCACCAAGAGUAAGCCUUUCUCGAGGAAAUAGAGAAAACUGUAGCCCUUCUGGUUUUUUAAGAUGUAAAAAACUGUCCAUAUGAUGAACUGUUGGAUGUUUCUCAACGCUUAAAGGCGGCAAGUGAAGUUAAUGCUGUCAUUCUUACAAGCCAAAGUCACAAGAAAGUGUGUUGAGCAUGUGGUUGAUUUCACAACAGGAACAAAUGAUAAAGAUUUCACAGGCAUGUCAAUGGUUGACAAUCAUGAAAUCGAUGGUCGUGAUUGUUUUUGUUCCCACUCAAUGUUUUAAGAGAUUCUUUCCGGGUGUUUCUUCGUGGCAACAAGAAGCUGUGGCAUCAUGUCGCCAAAAAGGGUGAGCUUAUCAAUCCUUAGACGGACAAAAUUGUACCUGCAGCAACACCGCCUGCAUCUUGACCGAUGCUCCCAUCAUGAUGGUCAAAAUGGCCUCCUACAGAUGCGGAGCUGAUGCGGUGGGUCACCAAUUGUUGCAGGGCCGGAGGAGAAGAGCGGGAUCACAGCGAGGCGCAGGUUCUUGGCAGGAGAUCAUGGAGAGGUGAUUGGCCAGAGGAGAUCACGGCGAGGUGCCGGCUAGGUGCUUGGCCGGAGUACAUCAGGGCAACUGAUUGGCCAGAGGAGAUCGGGGCGGAGGUGCUGUCUGGGAGUGGAGGUGCUGGCUGGGGGCGGAGGUGCUGGUUGGGGAAGGAGGAACUGGCUGGGAAGGUGGAGCUGCAUGAACUUUUUAUCCUAUAUGAAUGGUAUUCUAAUGGUGGUGUCCAUCGCUUUGGCUGUCUUGAUCUGUUUGGUAGCCACUUUCUUCUUAUCUUCUACCUCCGAUCCAUAAUAAGUACUCCCUCCAUUCCCUUAUACAAGGCCACUAUGAAAAAUACAUUUUACAUCUAUAAAAGGCCACUAACUGUAAUCGAGGCAACAUUUAUUGAUGUUUUCUCGUAGUAGCAACUUGUUUAAACUUGCAUGCAUGUAGUCAUAAUGACAUUGUGCUACUCUCUUCUCAUUUCUCCCUUGCAUGCAUGCGGGCAUAUUAAUAAUCCCGGUCAACGAGAAGAAAAGUUGACUUACAAAGUAGUCAUUAAAUUUUGCCUUGGUACCUGUAUUUUGAGUUUGUGGCCUUGUAUAAGGGAAUGGAGGGAGUAUCACAGUUUUGAACAGUUGCCUGAUCGCUUAUUUUGGAUCGGAGGGAGUUCAUAUUUGCAGAUAUACUACUGCUUUGUGGUUACUUUCUGCUCACUUUCUUCUUACGGUGCAUAAAUAUUUAGUGGACCUUGACUACAUAUAGUACUAUGGUGCCCAUGUUUUCCUGGUGUCUUGGUAAGUUGAGCAACUUGGUCACUGCUGGCUGUCAUCUCCCUUUCCCUAAUCAAGUCGGGAUUAGUUUUAUACUAACACACUAAAAUGAGUAUAUACAUCCGAUUCAGAAAACAGUUGGAACAUCUUAUAAUAGUGAACGGAGGGAGUAUUUGCCAUGUGUGAUAGUUGAGCAAUAAAAGAUAUAUUUAUUAUUAUGAACCUAUCAUCGAAGACGGGAUCUGAAUUAACAGUGUCAUAAGUAAUUUGGAAGUGAUAGUUUAGUACUUUUCAGUUCUUUGUCCUCAUUACAAAAUAAAUAGUUGAGCGGUCUUAUGUUUCCUAUGGGGUAACUAUUUUAGCACCAAUUAUAGCCAUUGUUGAGAUAGCAUCCAUAUUUUUACACUGUUGUUUUUACUUCUGUUUAUUGUAUAUAUAGACGCGUUUUAGUGUGUUUGUUCGCUAAUUCCAGGCCUUAUAUAGUCCAUAUUGAAAUAUCCAAAACUUCUUAUAAUUCGGAACAGAGGUGAUACCUACCUAUAUAGUAGGUUAAUAAGGCAAUUGGCUAUUUAUAUUACCAUUCUUACAAGAUGCAUGCUAAUUUAAUAUUCAUGUUUGUCACGUAUUAAUUGCCAAAAUUCAGUCCCACUUGAUAUUGUGUAUACUUUUGUUAGGUGCAUAAUUCACUUGUGGCCAGAUGAUCGAUUGUGUUCAGUGGCAACAUCUUAACUAACCCUCAACUAACAAUUUGAUGUAUAUCUUUUUACAGGAGAACAUUGUUACCAUGCUGACAAGGAGAAAGAAUGAUGCUGCGCUUUGGCUCAAUCCACUAUCAGCCACAAGAUCAACUGGUUUCCGUUUGGUCAUUAUGUUGUCUAUUUGGCGAACCUUGCAAUGACAAGAUAUUGCUAUGUGUUAGAACCGCGAUGAAUUUGCGUAUAUCACCUGAUUAGCAGAUGAUGUAGUACUACUUAUCUUAUGAUGUAUUACUUGCUGCUAUGUCUUUGAGAAAUCCAAAUUCUGGAUCAAUAAUUUCUAUGUUUACUUUUA